AGCGGGGCCCAUCCCGUAAGGCUAAAUACUCCCGAGAGACCGAUAGCGAACCAGUACUGUGAAGGAAAGGUGAAAAGAACCUCGAACAGAGGAGUGAAACAGACCCUGAAACCAUGCGCCUACAAGCGGUCGGAGCAUGUUAAAAUGUGACGGCGUGCCUUUUGCAUAAUGAACCUACGAGUUACUCUCGCUGGCAAGGUUAAGCGAUUCAGUCGCGCAGCCGAAGCGAAAGCAAGUCCGAAUAAGGCGUACAGUCAGCGGGAGUAGACGCGAAACCAAGUGAUCUACCCUUGGUCAGGUUGAAGGUUGGGUAACACCAACUGGAGGACCGCACCGAUAAGCGUUGAAAAGCUUACGGAUGAACUGAGGGUAGGAGUGAAAGGCCAAUCAAACUUGGAGAUAGCUCGUACUCCCCGAAAUGCAUUUAGGUGCAGCCUCGAAGCAGAGUGAUAGAGGUAGAGCGACUGAUAAGAUGCGAGGGCUUCACCGCCUAUCAAGUCUUGACAAACUCCGAAUACUAUCACUUGAUCUUUGGGAGUGAGGGCAUGGGUGCUAAGGUCCAUGUCCGAAAGAGGAACAACUCAGACCACCAGCUAAGGUCCCGAAAUAAGGGCUAAGUUGAAUAAACGAAGUAAAACUGCAAAGACAGCUAGGAUGUUGGCUUGGAAGCAGCCAUUCAUUUAAAGAGUGCGUAACAGCUCACUAGUCGAGGAGUUUUGCAUGGAUAAUAAUCGGGCAUAAGCCCUUUACCGAAGCUGUGGAUGUCGUAAGACAUGGUAGGGGAGCAUUCCGGCGGCGACGAAGGCCGUCCUCGAGGACGACUGGAGCUUUCGGAAAAGCAAAUGUAGGUAUAAGUAACGAUAAAGGGGGCGCGAAACCCCCUCGCCAUAAGACUAAGGAUUCCUGAUCAACGCUAAUCGGAUCAGGGUAAGUCGGGCCCUAAGGCGCAGCCGAACGGCGUAGCCGAUGGAAGAAACGGUAAAGAUUCCGUUACUGGAUAUAGGAGCGAUGUGGAGACGGAGAAGUGACACACCCGCCUGCCGACGGAAGCGCAGGUUAAAGGAAGUAGGUAAACGCCGGGUAGGCAAAUCCGCCUGGCGUGCCGAAACUGACAGUAUCGAGAGCCCCCGGGCAAUCGAAUAGCGGUGGUAAUCAGGCUCCCAAGAAAAUCCGCUAAGCAUAUUCUAUAUCCACCCGUACCCCAAACGGACACACGUAGUCGGGUAGAAUAUACCAAGGCGCUCGAAAGACUCACGGUUAAGGAACUAGGCAAAUUGACCCUGUAACCUCGGGAAAAAGGGUCCCCAGUAAGAUGGGGCGCAGAGAAUAGGUCCAGGCAACUGUUUAACAAAAACACAGGGCUGUGCAAAAUUUCAAGAUGAAGUAUACAGCCUGACACCUGCCCGGUGCCGGAAGGUUAAGAGGAGAGCUUAUCGCAAGAGAAGGCUUGAAUUGAAGCCCCGGUAAACGGCGGCCGUAACUAUAACGGUCCUAAGGUAGCGAAAUUCCUUGUCGG
rnacentral:rRNA from 1 species